CGCGCCGACCUCGGCGGCUGGGCAGCGCUCCACUGGCGGGCGUUGUUGGUCGCCACCUGGGGUUUUGCCUCUGCAUCGUCUUGGUCUCCUGGAUGCCAUCGCCUUCACCUGGCCGUAAAAGCCGAGCAGCACCCGCGCCAGGCCAUCUCCCACUCUCAAGAAUUAUGUCGCUCCUGAUCCCCUUCCUUUGUAACAUGGUACACAUGAUGAUGCAAUUGCCAAUGUUCAGUUCAGUUUUAUCAAUGCUCAGACAGCUCGUUCGUGAAGAAUAAUGGAUCAGGCUAUGCCUGUUCAGUGUUCACGCGUUGAAGUUUGUCUUGCUUGUUCAUGCGUCUGAUUCAAUUUUUCAGUUCAAGCAUAAAUAAUUGCUCUAGGCUUUGGAACAGAUGGAGUCUGUGGUCAAAGCAUUUUGUACCCAGGUUUUGCAAUUUUCAUCAUUUGUGCUAGCACGUGCACUCUAUUAGCAUCAUUCAUCAUAAUUUUUCAUCCAAGGAAUUGGUCGAAAUGUAUAAUGCUGAGAUUCUAAUGCUAGAGGAUUUAACCGAUGUCUCCGGCCCUCCAGAGUUUAUGAGGCACAGGGUUGCCGAGCCUCAGGAAGGGAUGGAGACCCUUGCUGUACUCGAUCGCCGCAGGAAGGAGGUUAGCAAGCAUCCACCUCCAGCUAAGUAGAUUUAUCGACUCGUUGAGGUGGAGACUUGCAUUCUUAGUUAGUUGGGUUGCAUUGGAAGCGCUUGUAGUGACCUUAGACUUCUUCACAAAGGUGAUCCUACAAAUUCGACAAGAGCUUCUUAACCUUAAGCAAAUUGGAAUGAUUCAUAAUUCUGAAGGUAUGAUCGAGGGGCUGAGCGUUUGACCAAACAAACGGCGGGGUCUAGCAAAGGGACACAGUAGAGUUAACUAGAGAAUUGGAUUCAAAGGAAGGGUUAGAGCAACUGCUAGCAUUGCAUCAGUAUACCGGCUUACUGGUUGCCUGGUUGGGAUGUCUGCUUGAAGGAGCUGCAAAUAACAACUACUUGGUGAAACACGCACUAGCUUAAAAUCAGGUGGAUGUGGUUAUAGUAUGGAGGAUGUGGGGAUAAUUCUUUUCAUUAUCAGGCUUUGGGUUUUCUUCGGCCAUCUCAAAAUCCUGGAUAUGACAUCUCUAUUUUUCUUUGGUGUUUUGGGUACACAACUUGAGGAGUAUUUCAUGAAAAAAAAACACUUGAUUAGAAGUGGUUCGGACCCACCUAGCCAUAGCACAGGGUGCCCAAGAAGCUACAGAGCUGAGAAUUUCAGAAGUCGCACCACAGCCCUCGGUUUAUAUCCAUUUCAAUGCACAGUGCACUUAUUAGGAGAGUUAUGUUACUAAGUGAACAGAACACACCAAACACCGUCCAAUGGUAAUGUUGGUAUUAAUGUUGGAUCAUCAGCGUGGCUUUUCUGGUUCACCUUGUGAGCUGAUUAUAAGGUGGUCCCUCACAAUAAGCCCAAAAAGUGCAGGGAUGGCUUAGAGGUGGCAGUUGGCGGCAGUAGCGGAGGAGCACAACGAGCCACGGGAUCAGCAUGGAAGACCGGUUUUCGCGGAGUAUGUGGCUCACAAACGGGAGAAGGUUAGGUCUCCAUGGAGUGUACGUGUGCGUGAAAAUCGUUGGUGAUAGUUGUGCUGGCGCUGCAUUGCCGAAAAGCUACAUAUGGCUAUGUAAUCCUUGUGUAAGGUUGUUCGAGUCCUUUUGAAGUUGAAUAGAAGUCAUACAGACCAUUCGGUGGCCGGGUCAUUCCUUGUCAAAACUUGUGUCUCCUGUUUAUUGUCUU